CGUGACAACUCGGGGAUUGGUUCUCUUUGAGGAUUAAAAGGGAAUCCAUAAGGAGCGGCCCCGCCACUGUAGCAGUGACGAAUCCCGUCAUGCCACUGUUCCGGAGUGCGGAAUGGGAAGGCAGGGAUGAGGAUGAUCUGCGAGCCAGGAGACCUGCCAAUCUCCAUAUGUCAAG
rnacentral:ncRNA from 1 species